UGCGCUUGUUCCGUGCUUUCUAAGGACUUUCCCCUAGCACUCACAUGUUCACUUGUCUCCUUAACUUCGUAAGAAGCUCCUGGUAUACAGUAUGUGACAGAGAAAAGGUGGAUGUAGUGAGUGUAGAAGAAACAGAACAUGCCACAGUGUUAGAGAGACCAAAGUCAGCAUUAUGUUAACUAAUUUUAUUUCAGCUAGCCCACACAAGGUUUGUUUCCAU